GACGAACCGUCCUAACGUUGUUCGGAAUCACUGGGCUUAAAGGGCGCGUAGGCGGGUUCCCAAGUCGGUGGUGAAAUCUUUCGGCCCAACCGGAAAACAGCCGCCGAUACUGGGAGUCUUGAGGGAGGUAGGGGUCGAUGGAACUUCCGGUGGAGCGGUGAAAUGCGUUGAUAUCGGAAGGAACGCCGGUGGCGAAAGCGACGGGCUGGAUCUCUACUGACGCUGAGGCGCGAAAGCCAGGGGAGCAAACGGG
rnacentral:rRNA from 1 species